AUUGAACGCUGGCGGCAGGCCUAACACAUGCAAGUCGAACGAGUGGCGGACGGGUGAGUAAUGUCUGGGAAACUGCCCGAUGGAGGGGGAUAACUACUGGAAACGGUAGCUAAUACCGCAUACCAUCAGAUGUGCCCAGAUGGGAUUGGCUAGUUGGUGGGGUAACGGCUCACCAAGGCAACGAUCCCUAGCUGGUCUGAGAGGAUGACCGGCAACACUGGAACUGAGACACGGUCCAGACUCCGACGGGAGGCAGAAGUGGGAAAUAUUGCACAAGGGGCGAAAGCCUGAUGCAGCAAUGCCGCGUGUAUGAAGAAGGCCUUCGGGUUGUAAAGUACUUUCAGCGGGGAGGCGUUACCCGCAGAAGAAGCACCGGCUAACUCCGUGCCAGCAGCCGCGGUAAUUC
rnacentral:rRNA from 1 species